CUGUGGCCCUCCAGGAAUUGAGUUUGAGACCACUGAUUUAAUCAAACACUCUGGGCUAGCAUUAGCAUUAGCAUUUGCAGUUUGACUGAACAUGAGCUGAAGCUGCUUCUAACAUAAACCAUCUGUACAGUGUCUGGCCAACAUUACAGCCAAUUAAAAAAUUAAUAGCCACAGGACAGAUGGUGUUUAGUGAGGUGCUCCUGCAGCAAAAAAGAGGUCAAGAGUCUCCACAAAAACAAACAACAAAUAAAUAGCUUUCCAGAAGCUGGUUUUUGCUAGCUGAAUGCACUCCACUCCACAGGGAAAGUUUAUUUUGGUUUCUCUUUGGGUUCCCAUCGAGGGAAAGGCAAAACAACCUGAGCAGGCUCAAAGCCAAUGGAAGGAGGGGCAUCUUCCAGCCUCUGUACAGCAAACCGUAAACCAACUGACAACUAGAGCCGGAGAGGGAGAGGGAGAGAGAGAGAGAGAGAGAGAGGGGAGAAGGAAGGGAAAAACAUG